CGUGUUUACUUCCAGUCUCAGCUCAGCCUUUUUUAUUGAAGAGAGAGAGGGAGAGAAAGUGUUUUCGAAAAGAAAAAAAAUAUUCUGGAGAAGGACAAAGAAAGAAUGUCAUUGGGGUUUGGAACAAAAAUAAGAAAAUACAUACGGAAAAGACGCAUUAGUCCUGAGGCCUUUUUGGAGCACAAGUGGUGUGUUAUACAUUGCAGAGGCGUCUGCUGUCUCUCUCAUGGACUUUGCUGCUUUUUGGAGAGCAAAUUGGG